GAAAGUGCCUGGUUGAAGCUAGCUUGCAAUCCCAAAGUCAGAAGGUUGCCUGGGAAGCCAUGAAACAAAGCCAAAUCAAGGCAAAGCAGACACAUGGAGAUUUUGAGACUGAGAAGAGGAAAACUGAGGACAUUCAUGUGAGAUGGUUUCAAGUUUCCCUUAGAAGGAGAAGUUAUCUUCAGAAGGUCAGGUUGGUGAGGUGGGAGUUCAAAAACAACAAAGUAUGUAGCUACCAUUGUGAGGAAGACCAUGGAAAAUGGACAAAUCAGAAUGAAAGGCUUUCUGAACAAGACCCAGAGACAGAAGCAGAUAAUGCAAGUGUCAUCUACAUCUGGCAAAAGCCAAAGUUUUGGAAGAUGGAAAAAGGAAUCCAGGCAAAAAGGAGCCCAAGAUUGAAGUGAAUGACCAGGUGCACCAGUUCAAAUGCAAUCAGGAGGGACGGGUAGAGGGAGAAGCCUAGAGCAGCGCUUCUCAAACUGACUAUUCAAGUCACCUGGAGAUCUUGGUGAAAUGCAGACUCUGGUGCAGUAGGUCCUGGUGGGAACUUGAAAUUCUGCAUUUUGACCAAGCUCCAAGGUGAAUGUCCAGUGCUGUUGUCCUUGGCCCACAGCGGGAGGAGCAGGGAUCUAAGACUUGGAGAGCAAAUGUCAAGCUCAGAAGAAAGACUGGAAGUUUGGGGACAAAACCCAAAUAUGGCUAAAGAAAGCCUGUAGGAUGAAGUUGGAAGUUCCAGAGCCUUCUCUUCACAUAAUGGGACAUGCAAGGGGGAAACCAAAUCAAAAGUGUAGAAUGCGUCGCUGGAUGUCUUUGACAUGUUAUUGUUCUGAUAGAAUAUCAGCGGGGAGCUACUGAGGACCUCCUCACUACCCUCCCUUGGAAGAGUUUGUCUGCAAUGGAGCCAACACAGUGGAAAGCAGAGCUGAGAAAUGGACAAACAACUCCUGAUGCCUCAUUUGAGCACCUGGAUUUAGCCACGCCUAAAGCUAUUAUAUCCUUGAACUUUUGAAUCAUGUAGGUUACCAUAAUUCCUUUUUUGUUAAAGCUAAUUUGAGUUGGGUUUCUAUCACUUGCAAUCAACAAUUGACCAGGUGCUUAGUAGAUAAUGAAUGAGUGAAUGAACAAAUUCAAUUCUGUAAGUAUUUAUCAUCUCCUUACAUGGCAGGCACUGUUUUAAGUCCCAAAGAAAGAGGCAGAGGAGCGACAGAGAUGACUUCCUCCCUUGAGAACGAAGCAUGUGGCCUGACAACCUAAAAUUGGGGUCAAUCCAUCCAAUUAUGGUGACUGCUUAGAAAUAUCCCUUUUCCUCCCAACCUUUUCCUUUCUUUCUCCCAUGAACAUAAUAAUGUCUCCUGCCAGUACUAAGGCAUGGCCCAUGGACCCACUAACACCUAUGCUCACAUUAGCUCUUGAGGCCGAGUGGCUUGGUUCUAUCUGGUUAUCAGAUGCAAACUUCAUCACAGCAGGGAUUUGGCCUAGACAUUAGAGGAAUAGUGUGGUACCAGAUGGUGUUUCUGAAGAAGGUUGUCCUAUUUUUGCAGUUUAAGGAUUUGAUAAUAAAUCUGCCUGGCAGCCCUCAGAUGUGAUUUGGCCUUGAAAUCGUUUCUGUUAAUCCUUGAUGCUGUGUAUAUCUGUCAAGGUCCAACCAGGAAAAACAGAACCUG